rnacentral:rRNA from 1 species
UACGAAGGGGGCUAGCGUUGCUCGGAAUCACUGGGCGUAAAGCGCACGUAGGCGGAUCUUUAAGUCAGGGGUGAAAUCCUGGAGCUCAACUCCAGAACUGCCUUUGAUACUGGGGAUCUCGAGUCCGGAAGAGGUGAGUGGAACUCCGAGUGUAGAGGUGAAAUUCGUAGAUAUUCGGAAGAACACCAGUGGCGAAGGCGGCGCUCUGGGCUGGAACUGACGCUGAGGAGCGAAAGCGUGGGGAGCGAACAGG